UUGCUUAAUCAAACUCUUUGGAUUAAACACAUACUUCUUAACUGAGAGACAUGAAACACAUUGUGCACGUCUCCAAUACUAGGUGGCAAUGCCAACCUAUAGGCUACAGGGCCUAUCUUAUCUAAGAUCUCAAAAAGUCCUAUAUAACGGGGUCGUAACUUGCCCCUCUUUCUGAAACGUAUAACUCCAUUUGAGGGAGAAACUUUGAGGAAAACUCGAUCCCCAAUAUUGAAUUCUAACUCCGAUCGGCGUUUAUCGGCGUAAGACUUUUGUCUAUAUUGAGCUUAUUUGAUUCUUUGCUUGAUGUGGUCGACUUUCUCAAUCAUCUGUUGGACCAGUUCAGGACCUAACAACAUUCUUUCACCCACUUCAUCUUAGUAAAGUGGUGAACUACCUUAAUUGUUUCCUUCGUCCUAAGUCACCUUCUCAGAUUUGACUAGGAAAUUCUAACAUCAGACUUUUCUCAUUAUCUUGGUAACUUUCACUUAAAGAUUAAUGGCACUCCUUCCGCCAUGUAAACUCAUUUUCUUAUUUCCAAAUGAUUAUUUAAUGGGGGUUUCUAAAUUUCCAUUGUGGUGGCGUUCCAACUUUAUUCUUGUUGUAGCUUCUGGCACUUUAGCUAAAGCAUUUACUCUCUUAACUUGAGCCUACUAGCCUUGGGGUUGGGUUAUACCUUAAGUUUAGUUCUAGUGCUUUCCUUCCAUUUCCUUUUUCUUUACCUCCAUCUUGAGGUGGUGUACAUAUCUUGUUUGUGCGUGAACUUUUUCCUUCUCCAAUUGUUG
rnacentral:lncRNA from 1 species